GUCCCCGUAGCUCAGCUGGAUAGAGCGUCCGCCUCCUAAGCGGAAGGCCGGGGGUUCAAAUCCCCCCGGGGACGCCA
rnacentral:tRNA from 1 species